GGAACUGUACUGCACUAUUUCAAGCUACUCUGUAUGCAAGAACAUUUGCGCUACCAGACAGUACAGGAAAGAAAAAGACGCUUGGAGAAAUGUAUUUAAAAGGACGAAAGCCAGUCCCUGCUCCAUUCCACUCUGCAGUGAAGAGCUCGAGCAGAGAUGCAAAUGAGACGAUUGCACUUGCCAUUGACCAGCUUCGUCUUUUACGAAACAUUCUUUGUCAUACAUCCAACCCUCAAAUUAAUAAAGUCACAUUCGAUGACUAUAUCAAGCACGCCAAAGAUGCGUUUACUGCUUUGAAUUUUAGCACGACAUCUCUGGAGAGGAUUGGGAACAUGAGAGAAUCGGAUUUUCCUACAAAGGAAGUAGAAAAACUUAAUGAGGGAAUCAAUCGUCUGAGGAAUGAUUUCCAUCUGUUUCUUGAAAAUGAG